rnacentral:lncRNA from 1 species
CAGGACUUGGAUCAUGGCCUUCAGCCAGUAAUUAAUUUAAGUUCAGCAAUCCUUCACGGAUUGAAAAGAAGUUCUUGAGGCAUGUUAAAGUCCCAGCAGCUGCCAAUGUGUUAAGAAAGUUUUCUGGGUGACUCUGUAUAAGUACGGAACCUGAAUGUAUGAUCCCUUCCUGGACAAAAUCCCCAGAUUUAGUCACGUAGGGGUGAAAACUAGACAAAGAAAAAAAGAUUGUUUCUGAGAAUAGAUGGAUUGCACUUCCACACAGAGCAUCGACAACGUGAAAGACCCUGAGAUCAUUGGACACUAGUUGAUGGCUGUUGG